UAGAAGCAUCACCAUUAGAGACAACACCCCUAGAGAUAUCACCAGAGACAAAACCCCUAGAAGCAUCACCACCUCUCGAUUGUUCUCCUCCUCGCAAUGUGUCUGUUAGCUCGGACGAUAGUGAUGAAAAUGAGAGUGACUCAGAGGGUACUGUUAGUGGGGCCGAGUUGGAGGACUUGAAGACUUUGAACCAGAGCCUCCGCCCAUUCAGAGACAAGUUGACAUCAGGCUCAGACAAAGAUGAUGUGUCUGUCAUCAGUGUGGCAACAUCGACAAGUUAUCUCCAUGGCGACAAUGUGGGUACAGUCAGAGAACUGGUUAGGAGGAGUGUUGUCAAGAGACGGAAGUAUCAGGCAAGGGCCUCGCGUCCAAACAGAGAGAAGGGGAGUGGCAAUAGAACAAGGCGAGGGAAAGCAGCUAGCACUGUGUCUAUGGACUCUGACUUCUUUUAAGUGUAAUCAUGCCAAUACUUUAUUAGGUUAUAAUAACCGAACAUUCUUUGUUCUAAUUAAUUGUUCCUGUUAUUGUAUGUCGAUAAUACAUUUUUAAUAAUAAAUUUAUGUCGUUUAA